AAUGAACGUUGGCGGCGUGGAUUAGGCAUGCAAGUCGCGCGAGAAGUCAUUUAGCUUGCUAAAAGACGGACAGCGGCGGAAGGGAGAGUAACGCGUGGUUAUGUACCCUCGAGACCGGGAUAGUGUCGGGAAACUGGCAGUAAUACCGGAUAACAUCUUCGGAUCAAAUGGUGUGAUUCCGCUCGAGGAUCGGACCGCGUACUAUUAGCUAGUUGGAGGGGUAAUGGCCCACCAAGGCUUAGAUGGUUACCGGGUGUGAGAGCAUGGCCCGGCUCACUGGGACUGAGACACUGGCCAGACAUCUGCGGAUGGCUGCAGUCGGGAAUCUUCGGCAAUGGACGAAAGUCUGACCGAGCGACGCCGCGUGCGGGAUGAAGGCCUUCGGGUUGUAAACCGCUGUCAGUUAGGAGGAAAUCCAUGAGGGUUCUCUCUCAUGGUUGACCGAUUUUCAGAGGAAGGACGGGCUAAGUUCGUGCCAGCAGCCGCGGUAAUAC
rnacentral:rRNA from 1 species